AGAGUUUGAUUAUGGCUCAGGAUGAACGCUAGCGGCAGGCUUAACACAUGCAAGUCGAGGGGUAACAGGGAGAGCUUGCUUUCUGCUGACGACCGGCGCACGGGUGCGUAACGCGUAUACAAUCUACCUUAUACUGGGGUAUAGCCUUUAGAAAUGAAGAUUAAUCCCCCAUAGUCUCUUUUUGCGGCAUCACUAAAGGAGUAAAGGAUACGGUAUAAGAUGAGUAUGCGUUCUAUUAGUUUGUUGGUGUGGUAACGGCACACCAAGACUACGAUAGAUAGGGGCCCUGAGAGGGGGAUCCCCCACACUGGUACUGAGACACGGACCAGACUCCUACGGGAGGCAGCAGUGAGGAAUAUUGGACAAUGGAGGCAACUCUGAUCCAGCCAUGCCGCGUGUAGGAUGACUGCCCUAUGGGUUGUAAACUACUUUUAUACAGGAAGAAACACCUCUACGUGUAGAGGCUUGACGGUACUGUAAGAAUAAGGAUCGGCUAACUCCGUGCCAGCAGCCGCGGUA
rnacentral:rRNA from 1 species